GUGAAUCAUCGAAUUUUUGAACGCAAAUUGCACUCUCUGGUAUUCCGGGGAGUAUGCCUGUUUGAGGGGCAGUUUAAAUAAAAAUCGGUGUGGUCGCUGCCUUUCGUGGUGACGCGCCGGUUUUGGGUCGUCUUGCUUUCGGUUAAGUGACCUGAAAUUAUGCAUGAUUUUUUUGAAUUA
rnacentral:misc_RNA from 1 species